GUGAUUUUUAUCUGCAUUGGAUCUACUUUAUUGAACCCCACAGCCUGAAUAGCAGCUACUAGGGUAGUGCCAGUGGAUGUAUAUGGAGACUGGGCUGGAAUGGCUGAGUGUGUGGGUGCACAGCUGGGAGCAGCCGUGGCAGUAAGUAGACAGCCAGUAACUUCUGAUAAAAGGGAGUAUCUGAAAACUGAAAGGCCCCAUAGGAAUGCCAACAACAUUUCAUAAGUUUUCAACCCAAAUUAAAGAUGAAAAAAGUGAAGUAGAUGAUGCAAUAAAGAAUUGGCAAAUUCCCAGCUGGGCGCGGUGGCUCACGCCUGUAAUCCCAGCACUUGGAAGGCCAAGGCGGGCGGAUCACAAGCAUGGUCUAUAGAAGAAGAAAGAAUUCAUCAUCAUUUCUAGGAAUAUCCCCAAUCACAAUCCUAAGACUCCAGCUCAAAACAAUAACUGGCAACUCUUCAAUAAUUAAUUAAAGGAAGGCACACCCUC